AUACGUAGGGUGCAAGCGUUAUCCGGAAUUAUUGGGCGUAAAGGGCUCGUAGGCGGUUCGUCGCGUCCGGUGUGAAAGUCCAUCGCUUAACGGUGGAUCCGCGCCGGGUACGGGCGGGCUUGAGUGCGGUAGGGGAGACUGGAAUUCCCGGUGUAACGGUGGAAUGUGUAGAUAUCGGGAAGAACACCAAUGGCGAAGGCAGGUCUCUGGGCCGUUACUGACGCUGAGGAGCGAAAGCGUGGGGAGCGAACAGGAUUAGAUACCCUGGUAGUCCACGCCGUAAACGGUGGAUGCUGGAUGUGGGGCCCGUUCCACGGGUUCCGUGUCGGAGCUAACGCGUUAAGCAUCCCGCCUGGGGGGUACGGCCGCAAGGCUAAAACUCAAAGAAAUUGACGGGGGCCCGCACAAGCGGCGGAGCAUGCGGAUUAAUUCGAUGCAACGCGAAGAACCUUACCUGGGCUUGACAUGUUCCCGACGAUCCCAGAGAUGGGGUUUCCCUUCGGGGCGGGUUCACAGGUGGUGCAUGGUCGUCGUCAGCUCGUGUCGUGAGAUGUUGGGUUAAGUCCCGCAACGAGCGCAACCCUCGCCCCGUGUUGCCAGCGGAUUGUGCCGGGAACUCACGGGGGACCGCCGGGGUUAACUCGGAGGAAGGUGGGGAUGACGUCAGAUCAUCAUGCCCCUUACGUCCAGGGCUUCACGCAUGCUACAAUGGCCGGUACAACGGGAUGCGACAGCGCGAGCUGGAGCGGAUCCCUGAAAACCGGUCUCAGUUCGGAUCGCAGUCUGCAACUCGACUGCGUGAAGGCGGAGUCGCUAGUAAUCGCGAAUCAGCAACGUCGCGGUGAAUGCGUUCCCGGGCCUUGUACACACCGCCCGUCAAGUCAUGAAAGUGGGCAGCACCCGAAGCCGGUGGCCUAACCCCUUGCGGGAGGGAGCCGUCUAAGGUGAGGCUCGUGAUUGGGACU
rnacentral:rRNA from 1 species